AAUAGACUGUAUUGGUUACAUUUUUCUCUGUCAUACAGGUUGUGGCUAUCAAAGAUAUAAUAUCACCUCCUUAUAGGGAAACAUUUAAUGAUGUGUACAGACAAAGGGAUGAGUAACCAACAAUACGAAUAUGGGAGGCCUUCCCCAGGGACGCCGUGCUAAGCUGGCGGGGCUAGUGCCACGGCGGGAAAGGCGUCGUCGAGGCGAAUUAGAUGAAAGACACAAAAAGAAAAUUGUUGCUGAUUUUUUUCCUUUUUUUAUUUAUAAUGUUAAACUUAUAUGUAUUUAUGCGAGGAUGAAUGUAAUGUGGAUAAGAUUGUUUGUCUUUGGAUGAAUGUAGUUUAUGUUUGGAUGGAUUUACGUAGUUUGGGUUUAGA